UUUGUCCCUAAUGUCUCUAUCACAGUUUUCACUAACAGCAAGCUAAGUACAGUAGUGCUCUCAGCCCUGUGCAAAUACAGACUGAUGGUACAAUGUCUGCUUGAACCCAGUACUGCUAAGGCAGUGCAUGCUCAUCUUUUUAGUGCACAGAGGUAACUCUGCCACUACCAAAACUUGAGGCAUCGCGUAUUUUGCUUCAACGUGUGGGUGAGCUGCCUCGGUGCAUCAUAAAACUCCCCAAGGUGCCUUUUGGGGGAGGAAGUCUUGCAUUUGUCUAGCCAUAGGCCAAGCACCUCUUCACAUCAGUAGGAAGUACCAGCAUUACUGUAGCAGGUAGUAUAAUUGCAUACCUGUGGUACUCAACAAUUUAACUUCCAUUGUGUUUUAGUCUUACAAAUUUCAUCUGAAAAGUUCAACUUUCUUUUAUAUGAAAGAAUGAGAAAAGCAGCUGUGAUACUUGAUGCUGUUUCCCACUCUCUCUAGGAUGGCUGUGGGGAACAACUCAGCAACCACAUGUCAGAAGACACUUCAGGGUGAUGGGCAAGGUUGCUGAGCUGCAGGACAAGAAAUGCAAGAAGAUAUGAGAUGUAACACAGGAGUUGGGAUAAGGAAGCAGAAGGACCAAGACAGAAUGGAAGAAAGGAAAAGAGUGCAGAAAAGAAGUUGAUGGGAUUACGAACGCUUAAACUGUAAACUCUUUGAGAGAGGGACCCUCUUUUCAUUUUAUUGUGUGCAGUGAAUGAAACAACAGCCCACAAUCGAUCGCUGAGGGGGGUCUGUCAGCAGACUGCAGGACUGUAACAAGGCAAACAGGUUUCCCGCUGUCCUCUACACUGGCAGCUCUUCAGCUCACCUAGCUGGCUCUAAAGCAGCAGCUGUCCUACGGACAGCAUGGUGAAAUAGAAAGCUUCUGCUAUUAUGGUGGUGGCACUGCAGAAAUCCGUAUUAACCUCUGGGUUUUGCCAGAAGGCCCAGGAGCUCUGCGCUUUGCAGAGCAGUUAUGUUCUGAAAAGGUUGUUCCUAGAGAAACUGUGCAGCAAACUGGGCCUGCUUUAUGUCCUCUCCUAGGAGCAGAGAGGAAGAAACGUGUCUCCAAGGCAGGCAGGGAGCUGAUGAUUGUGGUUAAAUGGCAGAGAAGAAGAAGCAGGGAUGGAUCCAUUUUUCAUGAAGGGCAGAGGGAGGAUAGAAGGGCACGUGCUGUGCUCUUCCCUCUUUGGGGGUAAUCUGAAGAGCAGUGGGCUCUCCCGUUUUCUGAUAAAUCUGAUUUUGCACCCUUGAAAAACGCAAAGGCGCUGCUUUAACAGGACACUUGCGUCUCUCUGCAAGGCCCUUCUGCUUCAGAGGUACAGAGAUGGAGACCCAAGUUUGGGAAAAGAUCAGGUAGUAAUAUUAGCAGAAGAGUCCUGCAGAGGUUGGGGGGGGGGGGGGGGAGCAAACCUGUAUGGUUUUACUGGGAUUAUGGAGAGAAAAAGCAUUACUUGAGAGAGGCCAGAAAGACCCUUUAGCUGGUCAGAUGUUUUCUAAGAAAACUAUUUUAACUUGUCUGUCUUUCAGAAAGAGUGAUAGUUUCUGAUGUAAAGUUUCUUCAUUGUUUUAAAGUAUGUCUGUCAAUAAAAACUACAUAGAGGAAAAAAA